CCUACGGGAGGCAGCAGUGAGGAAUAUUGGUCAAUGGACGAGAGUCUGAACCAGCCAAGUAGCGUGAAGGAUGACUGCCCUAUGGGUUGUAAACUUCUUUUAUAUGGGAAUAAAACGUUCCACGUGUGGGAUUUUGUAUGUACCAUAUGAAUAAGGAUCGGCUAACUCCGUGCCAGCAGCCGCGGUAAUACGGAGGAUCCGAGCGUUAUCCGGUUUUAUUGGGUUUAAAGGGAGCGUAGGUGGAUUGUUAAGUCAGUUGUGAAAGUUUGCGGCUCAACCGUAAAAUUGCAGUUGAAACUGGCAGUCUUGAGUACAGUAGAGGUGGGCGGAAUUCGUGGUGUAGCGGUGAAAUGCUUAGAUAUCACGAAGAACUCCGAUUGCGAAGGCAGUUCACUGGACUGCAACUGACACUGAGGCUCGAAAGUGUGGGUAUCAAACAGGAUUAGAUACCCGAGUAGUC
rnacentral:rRNA from 1 species